CGUGGUGCAGCAGGCGCGAAACCUUUACACUGCACGACAGUGCGAUAAGGGAAUCCCAAGUGCGUAGGCAUAGAGCCUACGCUUUUGUCUACCGUAGGGAGGUAGACGAAUAAGGGCUGGGCAAGACCGGUGCCAGCCGCCGCGGUAAUACCGGCAGCCCGAGUGAUGGCCGAUCUUAUUGAGCCUAAAGCGUCCGUAGCUGGCCGCGCAAGUCUAUCGGAAAAUCCACCCGCUCAACGGGUGGGCGUCCGGUAGAAACUGCGUGGCUUGGGACCGGAAGGCGCGACGGGUACGUCCGGGGUAGGAGUGAAAUCCUGUAAUCCUGGACGGACCGCCGAUGGCGAAAGCACGUCGCGAAGACGGAUCCGACAGUGAGGGACGAAAGCUAGGGUCUCGAACCGGAUUAGAUACCCGGGUAGUCCUAGCCGUAAACAAUGCCUGUUAGGUGUGGCUCCCACUACGAGUGGGUGCUGUGCCGUAGGGAAGCCGCUAAACAGGCCGCCUGGAAGUACUCCGC
rnacentral:rRNA from 1 species